CCCACCUUCAUGAUAGGAGACUGUACUGAAAACAUCCAAGUUUUUUAUUAUCUUCUUCCUCUCUUCCUUGACCAGGACACCAUUUCCCUCCUUAUCUUGAACUCCGUUGAUAUUGUGUAUCAACAAUUGUUGCGGCGAGCGUGGAAUAACUCUAGGAAUGUUGUUUACCAGAUCAUCGACUAUGAACUUUAGAAAGAUAAGGGCACGUCCAGGAAUUAUGGCUGCAUAGGGUGACUGGGAGGAUACAUGCAUGGCAAUAUCUACCAAACGGGGGAAAAAGCUGGAAUUGAUGAUCGGAGAUAUUGUAAUUGAGUUUCACCGAAGAAUCAAGUCAUGUCUGAUGGGUAUUCUAAUUUCAGGAAGAUUGAUGAUAUUUUUGAAGGCGCUUGUGGAAACGCUACAACCAGGGCUUCUGGGCUGAAAUCGGCUUCAUUUGUGAACCAGGGAAGAAACAACCAAUCUUGUAGGUUGCGUCCUGUGCCUGCUCGCUUGUGGAUAUCCUAUGCAGCCAAACCAGAGACUGUGGAUUAGGUGUGCGAAAUGGUAAGGGAACAACUAGCUUUGUCAAGUGACAACCCUGUCACUGGGGCAUAAAAAUUUUCUAAUCUUGGAGCUGAUUCUGUUGAUACGGUAGAAUCAAAUUAAAUCAUCUAUGGUAGAUGCUAUUCUCCCUACUCUUCUCCCCUUUGCUUAAGUUCAUGUCAUGUACUACUGCUUACCUUAUGUCACGACCUCAUACUUUUACUUAGUAUUGGUGAUGUAUGUCAAAUUUUGUUUCUUUGAUAUUGUAUUUGUCGGUACCAACUGCAUGUUUGUCGGCUUGUAUUCCGUUGCACGCACACUUUGAUGACUUCAGAUAUAUAAUGCCUUUGUUUUCCUCUUAAUAGUGGUUGCAUUUUGGUUGAUUUAUGGGGGGUGUUUUUAUGUUGUAAAUCACUUGGGUCGACUUUGCUACAUUCUUAGAUGUUUUCACAGUGCUUUGAUUUAGUUUAGAUGAUAAUGGUUUUCUGUUGUGGGGUUUUAAUUGCUAAUUCAAGGUAAUUAGUGGUGGGUUUUUAGUUAACCAAAGGACUACCUUUUAAAUUUAGAGUUGGUUUCCCAAUAUUACAUAAGAGAAACGAAGUUGUUGUCAGCCUAUUAUUCUUCAAAGGGGAUUUGUGGAAAAAACUAUGGCAAAUCCUGAUUGAUGAUAUCCUCCAAAGCUGUUUUUCUUUAACCUAUUAUUUCUGUGCUUUCUAUACUUGCACUUUUAAGUAAAAUCAAUUAAACAUGAUACAAGUUAACUUGCUAUCUUAUUCUCAUCAUCCCCAUCUUGAGCCCCUUUUGGCUUUUACGUUGUAUCGUUGAUCAUGGGAAAGAUGACUUUAGUUUCCUACUUCUAUUUUCUUCUUUAUUGCCUUGCAAUGCGAAACAAGGAUGUUUUUGUUUUUAAUGAUGCAUGCUUCUUGACUGAUUGUUGAUUAGUUUCUGCAUUGAUCACUAAGGCUUGCAGAUUUAAGAUUGCGACAGGGAUUUAAAUAGCGGUCCGAUAUCGGAAUAGCGGCCGCUAUAUAGCUGUAGUGGCGUCGUCCGAAAUCGCUAUUGCUAAAAAUAGGGUGUGAAGUGGAGUCACACUGAUAGCGGUGGCUCGCGGCCGCAAUUUAACGGGUAACGGCCAAUUGCGGGAAUAACGGGCCGCUAUUCUCGUUAUUUUCCGUUACAGUGGUUAAAGCAGCAUCAGAUUGGAAAAGACCCCUUCUUUUGAGCAAGAGUGAGUAGUAGCUAAGAUCUUAAGGUUUUCAGCGUACUCGUUGUCCAUGGUUGGGUCGAUUCUACCGGGGUCGAUGGAAUUGUACAAUCGGCGCGAAACAGCUGGGCAAUGGGAUAUGCUGAUUGUAUGACCACCUGAAAAACAAAUGAGACCACUUUGAAGAGCUGAGAAGCCUGAGACAAUUUCCCCAAAGGAAAAGUGAAGCAAGGAUGAAGAUGAUGAGCCAUGAAGUGACAGUGAUGAAGUUGAACUGAUAUACUUGAAGCAAUAUACAUGUUGCUGUUGAAACCAGAACAAAUGUUGCACACUUGCACCCACUUUCUUUCUAUUGAAAUAUUUUUGAAAGAAAGUAGUUUGGGGGUGUAUUUCCUUUGUGUUUUCAAGAAAUGAAACGUUGAAUUUGUUGAUUGAAAAAAUUAAGUGAAGAAUAAAGAGGAGUUUGUUUGAUUUA